rnacentral:rRNA from 1 species
GAUAAUGCGUAAUUCGCAGUACAUCUCGGGACGCAACCACUGAUGAUAUGACAUGAGUGCGACAGCGUGGGAGUCACAGAUUAGAUACCUGUAGUACACGCGUAAACGAUGUCGACUAGCGUUGGGAUCCUGAGAUUUAGUGGCGCAGUAACGCGAUAAGUCGACCGCCGGGGAGUACGCCGCAAGGUUAAAACUCAAAGAAUGACGGGGGCCGCACGAGCGGUGGAGCAUGUGGUGAAUUCGCAUCAAUGUGAAGAACCUCCUACGCGCUGACAAGUCCCGAACAUUGCAAAGAACGAUGCAGCCUUCGUGAAUCGGAGCACAGUUGCAGCAAGGCUGUCGUCAGCUCGUGUCUUGAGAAGUUCGAAACAGCACGGUAACGAGUGCAAGCCUUGUCUCCCAAUAUCAACUCGUUUAGGUUGGCACUAUAUUGUUACCGCCGGGGCAAACCGGGUGAAGGUUGGGGCCCAUCACAAUUAUCCUCCCCUUUACGUCCAGGGUUACUCACGGGCUACAAUGGUCGGUACAGAGGGUUGCCAAGCCGCGAGGUGGAGUUAAUCCCAUAAAACCGAUCGUAGUCCGGAUCGCAGUCUGCAACUCGACUGCGUGAAGUCGGAAUCGCUAGUAAUCGUGAAUCAGAAUGUCACGGUGAAUACGUUCCCGGGCCUUGUACACACCGCCCGUCACACCAUGGGAGUGGGUUGCUCCAGAAGUAGCUAGUCUAACCGCAAGGGGGACGGUUACCACGGAGUGAUUCAUGACUGGGGUGAAGUCGUAACAAGUAGCCGUA